rnacentral:tRNA from 1 species
GCCUGGGUGGCUCAGUGGUUGAGCAUCUGCCCUUGGGUCAGCUAUUGAUCCUGAGGUCUGGGGAUCAAGUCCCCAAUCAGGCU